rnacentral:rRNA from 1 species
UGGGGAAUCUUGCACAAUGGGCGAAAGCCUGAUGCAGCGACGCCACGUGCGGGAUGAAGGCCUUCGGGUUGUAAACCGCUUUCAGCAGGGACGAGGCCGCAAGGUGACGGUACCUGCAGAAGAAGCCCCGGCUAACUACGUGCCAGCAGCCGCGGUAAUACGUAGGGGGCAAGCGUUAUCCGGAUUCAUUGGGCGUAAAGAGCUUGUAGGCGGUUCGUCGCGUCUGGUGUGAAAGCCCAUCGCUUAACGGUGGGUUUGCGCCGGGUACGGGCGGGCUAGAGUGCAGUAGGGGAGACUGGAAUUCCCGGUGUAACGGUGGAAUGUGUAGAUAUCGGGAAGAACACCAAUGGCGAAGGCAGGUCUCUGGGCUGUUACUGACGCUGAGAAGCGAAAGCGUGGGGAGCGAACAGG